rnacentral:lncRNA from 1 species
GGUUGGUUUAAUUUCUGUAUUUUAGAAAUUCAAAAGUGUUAAUUUUGACUUACGUCCCAUCUAGAUGGUGUUGCAGGUGGCGACCAGACAAAAGUAAAAACAGAAGAGACGGAAACGUACAUGUCCAUACUUUGCUCACCAUUACCACCGCACUUGUCUCCAUCUUCUUCAGUUCAUGCUCUGACACCUACUGAUAUCGCCACUGUUUAUGCCUUGGGAAUACCAGAUUCAAACAGGGAUGAAGCCUCCAGCAUUAUCAGUAGACUAGCCGAGUUGCUGUC